rnacentral:rRNA from 1 species
CCUACGGGCGGCUGCAGUAAGGAAUAUUGGUCAAUGGACGAAAGUCUGAACCAGCCAUCCCGCGUGCAGGAUGAAAGCCCUAUGGGUUGUAAACUGCUUUUAGCAGAGAAGAAAAGCUUUCAUUAAUGAGAGUCUGACGGUAUCUGCAGAAUAAGCACCGGCUAACUCCGUGCCAGCAGCCGCGGUAAUACGGAGGGUGCGAGCGUUACCGGGAAUUACUGGUGCGUAGGGGGACGAUUGAGUCAGAGUAGAAAUCUUGUCGCUUAACGUUAAAAUUGCCAAUGAUACUGGUACUCUUGAAUUGGGUUGAGGUUAGCGGAAUGUGACAUGUAGCGGUGAAAUGCAUAGAUAUGUCAUGGAACACCAAUUGCGAAGGCAGCUAACUGGGCCUUGAUUGACGCUGAGGCACGAAAGCGUGGGUAGCGAACAGGAUUAGAUACCCCAGUAGUC